rnacentral:rRNA from 1 species
GGUUAAGCGACUAAGCGUACACGGUGGAUGCCCCGGCAGUCAGAGGCGAUGAAGGACGUGCUAAUCUGCGAUAAGCGUCGGUAAGGUGAUAUGAACCGUUAUAACCGGCGAUUUCCGAAUGGGGAAACCCAGUGUGAUUCGUCACACUAUCAUUAACUGAAUCCAUAGGUUAAUGAGGCGAACCGGGGGAACUGAAACAUCUAAGUACCCCGAGGAAAAGAAAUCAACCGAGAUUCCCCCAGUAGCGGCGAGCGAACGGGGAGCAGCCCAGAGCCUGAAUCAGUGUGUGUGUUAGUGGAAGCGUCUGGAAAGGCGCGCGAUACAGGGUGACAGCCCCGUACACAAAAAUGCACAUACUGUGAGCUCGAUGAGUAGGGCGGGACACGUGGUAUCCUGUCUGAAUAUGGGGGGACCAUCCUCCAAGGCUAAAUACUCCUGACUGACCGAUAGUGAACCAGUACCGUGAGGGAAAGGCGAAAAGAACCCCGGCGAGGGGAGUGAAAAAGAACCUGAAACCGUGUACGUACAAGCAGUGGGAGCACGCUUAGGCGUGUGACUGCGUACCUUUUGUAUAAUGGGUCAGCGACUUAUAUUCUGUAGCAAGGUUAACCGAAUAGGGGAGCCGAAGGGAAACCGAGUCUUAACUGGGCGUUAAGUUGCAGGGUAUAGACCCGAAACCCGGUGAUCUAGCCAUGGGCAGGUUGAAGGUUGGGUAACACUAACUGGAGGACCGAACCGACUAAUGUUGAAAAAUUAGCGGAUGACUUGUGGCUGGGGGUGAAAGGCCAAUCAAACCGGGAGAUAGCUGGUUCUCCCCGAAAGCUAUUUAGGUAGCGCCUCGUGAAUUCAUCUCCGGGGGUAGAGCACUGUUUCGGCAAGGGGGUCAUCCCGACUUACCAACCCGAUGCAAACUGCGAAUACCGGAGAAUGUUAUCACGGGAGACACACGGCGGGUGCUAACGUCCGUCGUGAAGAGGGAAACAACCCAGACCGCCAGCUAAGGUCCCAAAGUCAUGGUUAAGUGGGAAACGAUGUGGGAAGGCCCAGACAGCCGGGAUGUUGGCUUAGAAGCAGCCAUCAUUUAAAGAAAGCGUAAUAGCUCACUGGUCGAGUCGGCCUGCGCGGAAGAUGUAACGGGGCUAAACCAUGCACCGAAGCUGCGGCAGCGACACUAUGUGUUGUUGGGUAGGGGAGCGUUCUGUAAGCCUGCGAAGGUGUGCUGUGAGGCAUGCUGGAGGUAUCAGAAGUGCGAAUGCUGACAUAAGUAACGAUAAAGCGGGUGAAAAGCCCGCUCGCCGGAAGACCAAGGGUUCCUGUCCAACGUUAAUCGGGGCAGGGUGAGUCGACCCCUAAGGCGAGGCCGAAAGGCGUAGUCGAUGGGAAACAGGUUAAUAUUCCUGUACUUGGUGUUACUGCGAAGGGGGGACGGAGAAGGCUAUGUUGGCCGGGCGACGGUUGUCCCGGUUUAAGCGUGUAGGCUGGUUUUCCGGGCAAAUCCGGAAAAUCAAGGCUGAGGCGUGAUGACGAGGCACUACGGUGCUGAAGCAACAAAUGCCCUGCUUCCGGGAAAAGCCUCUAAGCAUCAGGUAACAUCAAAUCGUACCCCAAACCGACACAGGUGGUCAGGUAGAGAAUACCAAGGCGCUUGAGAGAACUCGGGUGAAGGAACUAGGCAAAAUGGUGCCGUAACUUCGGGAGAAGGCACGCUGAUAUGUAGGUGAGGUCCCUCGCGGAUGGAGCUGAAAUCAGUCGAAGAUACCAGCUGGCUGCAACUGUUUAUUAAAAACACAGCACUGUGCAAACACGAAAGUGGACGUAUACGGUGUGACGCCUGCCCGGUGCCGGAAGGUUAAUUGAUGGGGUUAGCGCAAGCGAAGCUCUUGAUCGAAGCCCCGGUAAACGGCGGCCGUAACUAUAACGGUCCUAAGGUAGCGAAAUUCCUUGUCGGGUAAGUUCCGACCUGCACGAAUGGCGUAAUGAUGGCCGGGCUGUCUCCACCCGAGACUCAGUGAAAUUGAACUCGCUGUGAAGAUGCAGUGUACCCGCGGCAAGACGGAAAGACCCCGUGAACCUUUACUAUAGCUUGACACUGAACAUUGAGCCUUGAUGUGUAGGAUAGGUGGGAGGCUUUGAAGUGUGGACGCCAGUCUGCAUGGAGCCGACCUUGAAAUACCACCCUUUAAUGUUUGAUGUUCUAACGUUGACCCGUAAUCCGGGUUGCGGACAGUGUCUGGUGGGUAGUUUGACUGGGGCGGUCUCCUCCUAAAGAGUAACGGAGGAGCACGAAGGUUGGCUAAUCCUGGUCGGACAUCAGGAGGUUAGUGCAAUGGCAUAAGCCAGCUUGACUGCGAGCGUGACGGCGCGAGCAGGUGCGAAAGCAGGUCAUAGUGAUCCGGUGGUUCUGAAUGGAAGGGCCAUCGCUCAACGGAUAAAAGGUACUCCGGGGAUAACAGGCUGAUACCGCCCAAGAGUUCAUAUCGACGGCGGUGUUUGGCACCUCGAUGUCGGCUCAUCACAUCCCGGGGCUGAAGUAGGUCCCAAGGGUAUGGCUGUUCGCCAUUUAAAGUGGUACGCGAGCUGGGUUUAGAACGUCGUGAGACAGUUCGGUCCCUAUCUGCCGUGGGCGCUGGAGAACUGAGGGGGGCUGCUCCUAGUACGAGAGGACCGGAGUGGACGCAUCACUGGUGUUCGGGUUGUCAUGCCAAUGGCACUGCCCGGUAGCUAAAUGCGGAAGAGAUAAGUGCUGAAAGCAUCUAAGCACGAAACUUGCCCCGAGAUGAGUUCUCCCUGACUCCUUGAGAGUCCUGAAGGAACGUUGAAGACGACGACGUUGAUAGGCCGGGUGUGUAAGCGCAGCGAUGCGUUGAGCUAACCGGUACUAAUGAACCGUGAGGCUUAACCUU